rnacentral:sRNA from 1 species
AUCUGCCGCGCCCACACUGCGGCCCUGAGCGCGCCGUCCACGCCCAUCGGGCCACUGCUCGCUACGUUUCGGGAGCC